rnacentral:lncRNA from 1 species
CCCUUUUAGGCAAGUACAUGGGGUGCCCCAAUCUGAUUGGGCACCUCAUGUCAUGAAUAGUAGGUAGAUGGGGAGCCAAGUGUAGGUUUCUUGGUCCAUGAGAGGUGGCGUGGCCACACUCUCUCUCUCUUCCAUGCCAUGCCACAUAAUGGAGUGGACCCCUCAUGUAAUAUCCAUGAGAUUUGGCACCUCAGGUCCUACCAAAAAUGAAAGAAGGCGCCAACUCUUCUUCCCAUUUAUUUCACACACCAC